rnacentral:rRNA from 1 species
CCUACGGGGGGCUGCAGUGGGGAAUAUUGGACAAUGGGGGGAACCCUGAUCCAGCCAUGCCGCGUGUGUGAAGAAGGCCCUCGGGUUGUAAAGCACUUUCAGUGAGGAAGAACGCCUGGUGGUUAAUACCCAUCAGGAAAGACAUCACUCACAGAAGAAGCACCGGCUAACUCCGUGCCAGCAGCCGCGGUAAUACGGAGGGUGCGAGCGUUAAUCGGAAUUACUGGGCGUAAAGCGCGCGUAGGUGGCUUGAUAAGCCGGUUGUGAAAGCCCCGGGCUCAACCUGGGAACGGCAUCCGGGACUGUCAAGCUAGAGUGCAGGAGAGGAAGGUAGAAUUCCCGGUGUAGCGGUGAAAUGCGUAGAGAUCGGGAGGAAUACCAGUGGCGAAGGCGGCCUUCUGGACUGACACUGACACUGAGGUGCGAAAGCGUGGGUAGCAAACAGGAUUAGAUACCCCUGUAGUC